rnacentral:snRNA from 1 species
UAUCUCUGGUUUCCCUUCAAAACGUAUAAAUCUUUCGCCUUUUACUAAAGAUUUCCGUGGAGGGGAACACUCAAAUGAGUCUUUCAUAUUUUUGAUAGUCUUGCGAUUGCAAGACU